rnacentral:piRNA from 1 species
GGAAUUAGGAUGUUAGUCACCUGAAA